rnacentral:rRNA from 1 species
GUGGGGAAUAUUGCACAAUGGGCGAAAGCCUGAUGCAGCAACGCCGCGUGAGUGAUGAAGGUCUUCGGAUUGUAAAGCUCUGUCUUUUGGGACGAUAAUGACGGUACCAAAGGAGGAAGCCACGGCUAACUACGUGCCAGCAGCCGCGGUAAUACGUAGGUGGCGAGCGUUGUCCGGAUUUACUGGGCGUAAAGGGUGCGUAGGCGGAUGUUUAAGUGAGAUGUGAAAUACCCGGGCUUAACUUGGGUGCUGCAUUUCAAACUGGAUAUCUAGAGUGCAGGAGAGGAGAAUGGAAUUCCUAGUGUAGCGGUGAAAUGCGUAGAGAUUAGGAAGAACACCAGUGGCGAAGGCGAUUCUCUGGACUGUAACUGACGCUGAGGCACGAAAGCGUGGGUAGCAAACAGGAUUAGAUACCCUGGUAGUCCACGCCGUAAACGAUGAGUACUAGGUGUAGGAGGUAUCGACCCCUUCUGUGCCGCAGUAAACACAUUAAGUACUCCGCCUGGGAAGUACGAUCGCAAGAUU